rnacentral:rRNA from 1 species
GACGAACGCUGGCGGCGCGCCUAACACAUGCAAGUCGAACGGAGCGGAGAUGAUCUUGCUUUGCUUAGCUGAGUGGCAAACGGGUGAGUAACGCGUGAGUAACCUGCCCUGCAUUGGGGUACAACAGGUGGAAACGACUGCUAAUACCGCAUAAGCCCACGAUCCAGCGUCGGGUUUGGGGAAAUGGAGUGAUUCGGUUCAGGCUGGACGCGCGUCCACUUAGCGAGUUGGUGAGGUAACGGCCCACCAAUGCCACGAUUGGUGGCCGGACGGAGAGGUUGACAGGCCACAUUGGGACUGCGACACGGCCCAGACCGGUAGGGGAGGCAGGAGUGGGGGAUAUUGCAGAAUGGGGGAAAACCCGACGCAGCGACGCGGCGUGGAGGAAGAAGGUUUUCGGAUUGUAAACUCCUGUCGUAAGGGACGAUAAUGACGGUAAUUAACAAGAAAGCACCGGCUAACUACGUG